UCGGGUGUGGUGUACGGUGCACCGCGGGUUUGAUUACCUGGUCGAUAAAUUGGCCCGCAGGCCGGGGUUCGACUCCCCGCGUCCGAA